rnacentral:lncRNA from 1 species
CCAAGCCUCAUUUUCCCCACCUGUAACUUCUUAGCAUUUUAGUGAGCUGCCCAGGCCAGAGCUUAGCAGAGGGCAGAGAACAGCCCUGCUAGUCUCUUUUGUUCUAGUUUGGAAGCUGGAGGCUUCUUUUUGCUCAUGAAGCUGCUCUGGGAUGGCCAGUGUGGGUGGUGCUAGCCUCAUGCCCUUAGAGCCGGUGUUGUAGGGUGAUUUGUGAAAUGGAUUUGACUUGUUAGGCUCUUAGUUUUCUCUUUCCCCAGCCAGAUAAAAGAAAGACUUUGAGAUCUUUAUGAGAGCAAGAGAGUAGGACUGGACGAACCCCAGGACCCACACCAGACCCAUGAUGACCACGAUGGUUUCUCGUGAAGCAGCCCUGAAACUGAGGUCUCCUGGUGCCCAGAUUGAAGAAACAACUGAAAAGGGCUAUGGGGAACUUCUGCCCAUUACAGCAAUUGGACAAUGAUGCGGAACUCUCGCUUCGAUGAGAAGAUUGACUCCGAUGACUACAGCUGUAGAAUGACACUUGUACUAGUCCCAGUGAUGCUGAACAUUUUUUGAGACUGACAGUUGCCUUCUCCCUGAUUAGAGAGGUAAGCCUGGAGAGCUGGGAAGUAAGUCCACUCCAUCAGGAUGGUGGGGGGGCUGAAGGAGGGGUGACAGCCACUGCAGCACCACCUCAGCUAGCCUGCUUCUGGUCAUUAUGGCUGGAUGGUGAUGGCCUGGUGCCUUGAAUAGGAUUGUUCCCUACUUUGGGUUGAGAGCUCUAGACUUUUACUCUGAGAGUUCUAGACUUUUACUCUGCCGCUCACCCUCCUCUGCUUGUAGUCCCGAAACAGAUCAGUUUGAUUGUUCUUUGCUGAGGCUGAUGUGAUGAACUCUGCCUCUGUCCCCAGUCAUCUCAUUUCCUAGGUGCUUUGGACUUAGUGAAUGGUUUUCCUUUUCUGGCCUUACUAUUCCCUUCAGCCACAAUCAUCACUUCCCUCCUCUUCUGGCAGCUGAAGGUGUUUGAUGUCAAGCCUAACUUCCCCAAAUCCAAUGAAAGGCACAGAGGCUGAGCUGUCAUCUGAUAUCAUGGCUUGGUUUACUCAAGGUGAUGUUUUGCUUUCUCCCCAGUGACUCUUCAUGUUUCUCCAUCUAACAUUUUUGGAGUCACUUAAUUCCUUAGUGCCCAUGCAAAUUCUCCUGCUGUUCUAAAAAAGAGGGCUCUAUUUUUCUUUGUUUGCUUCUUUUUAGGGCUGUACCUGCAGCACAUGGAAGUUUCUGGGCUAGGGGUUGAGUCAUAAAUGUAGCUGCCAGCCUAUGCCACAGCAACAGCAACACCAGAUCUCAGCCACAUCUGCACCCUACACCACAGCUCACGGCAAUGCCAAAUCCUUAACCCACUGAAUGAAGCCAGGGAUUGUACCUGUGUCCUCAUGGAUACUAGUCGGGUUCAUUACUGCUGAGCCACAUUGGGAACUCUAAGAGGGCUGUAUUCUUGAUCACAUUAAGGCAUUUAAA